CCCCCUCACCCCCUCCUCUCUUUUUCUUUCUCUGUCUCUGUCGUCUCUCUCGCUGGCUUUUUAAAAAUGAGGAACCGUUCCUUGAACGUUCUGGAUAGAGCACAGAAUUGCUUAAGUCAGCCCGACGCGGUUGCAAUAGACAGCAAAAAGGUAAACGUUUGCCUGAAAUUCGCACGCCAGCUCCACCACCCCGCCCGAUGAAAAAAACCACUAAUAUAGUUGUUUCUCCGUCUCCAUCUGGGAUAGUUUCCUGGAUUUCUGAGGAUACCAAAAUCUGCAGAUGCUCAAACCCCGUAUGUAAGAUGAUGUAGUACAAUUAGCCUUCCAUCGCAGUGGGUACCAAAUCCACAGAUUCAUCUAACUGUGGAUCAAAUUUUGAUUGAGUGAACACACAGAUGAGGAAUCCGAUGAAGAAAAAACGGAGAAUAUGGAUUUUAAGGGGAUUCCCAAAUGGCACUAGUGGUAAAGAACCCGCUUGCCAUUGCAGAAGAUGUCAGAGACACGAGUUCGACUUCUGGGUUGGGAAGAUCCUGGAGGAGGUCAUGGCAACCCACUCCAAGGUUCUUGCCUGGAGAAACCCAUGGCAGGCAAAUCUGUAGGGCUGCAAAGAGUUGGACACUACUGGAGCGACUUAGAGCACUCGCAUGCAUGCAUUAUAAGAAUUAAAGGAAGUGCCUGGCAGUGUAACUGAUUCUCUAACAAAGAGAAAAGCUUCACAAUAUGAGUGGACUGCGUUAUGAACAGCUUUCCUCCCACGUCUGCAAAAAUGCACUUUCAUUAAACACAUAUGUGUUAAGUGCACACGCAGAAGGCGUAGUGUUAGAUGGCUGUGAAAGAUGGAUGGAUGAUGCCAUUUUCCCAGGACUCCUGCUGAGGUUUGGAAUUGCACAGGUAGCCUCCUAGAGCUGUUGGCUAUGCCACUAAUAGGAUUACAGCUAGAGUAUGAUUUCAUUUUCUGAGAUAGUUUCAUCAUCAAAAAGAAGAAAGUUAUUUUUACCUUUUCUGUUUUCUGAAGUUGAAAAUUUUUCAGGUACAAAUCCCCUCCAAAUUUAUGUGUUUUCUCUACCUUCUAUUCAGGACUGUAUAACAAAAAUACAGAAAUAACCAUGGUAAGAGGUCAUUGGUCUGACUUCUGCAGAAACUUCCCCUGGGCAGUGGUCUCUACCCCUGUUACAGAAGACUGCAAAAAUACCAGCCAUUGUGCAUCUGGCCAAUUAUGCAAUGCUCUAUCACAAGGGGAAAUUCCUUCCUCACCCCAGCUGGUGAGCAGUUAUGCCCUGGAGCCCAGGACGGACAUGCCUUGUAACUUUUUAACCUAGUUAGUGUAACUGCCAAUAUUAUUCCUAUUCAUAUAAAUGUCUAAUCCUUUCUUGAAUCUUGCUAGACUAUUUGCCUCAAUAAUAUCCUGCGGCAGUGAAUUCCACAGGUAGAUUAUAUGCUGUUUUAAAAAAGUGUUUCCUUUUAUUCAUUUUAAAUUUGUUACCUUUUAAUAUCACAAGAUGGCCCUUGUUCUUGCAUUAAGUGGUACAGUGUACAGGCAUUUCAAAUUGAGCUUUAAUUCUUCCAGGUCCUUUCUCCGCCAUUAUUAAAAUCCUGUCUUCUUCA